rnacentral:rRNA from 1 species
AUUGGGCGUAAGGGCUCGCAGGCGGUUUCUUAAGUCUGAUGUGAAAGCCCCCGGCUCAACCGGGGAGGGUCAUUGGAAACUGGGGAACUUGAGUGCAGAAGAGGAGAGUGGAAUUCCACGUGUAGCGGUGAAAUGCGUAGAGAUGUGGAGGAACACCAGUGGCGAAGGCGACUCUCUGGUCUGUAACUGACGCUGAGGAGCGAAAGCGUGGGGAGCGAACAGGAUUAGAUACCCUGGUAGUCCACGCCGUAAACGAUGAGUGCUAAGUGUUAGGGGGUUUCCGCCCCUUAGUGCUGCAGCUAACGCAUUAAGCACUCCGCCUGGGGAGUACGGUCGCAAGACUGAAACUCAAAGGAAUUGACGGGGGCCCGCACAAGCGGUGGAGCAUGUGGUUU